GCCAAAAUACCAGAGUAUUGCAGUAUGCAAUGAUACCUUUUUUUAUUGGACUUGCUUCAGACCUGAGGAAGAGAGGAAACUCUUGAAAGCUUGUCUUUGAAAUAUUAUGUUAGUCCAAUAAAAAAAGGUAUCAUUGCAUACUGCAAUACUUUGGUAUUUUGGC